GCUGCGGCAGGAGAGCGCGGGGCCGCGGGGGCGGCGGGGGAGGCCCUCGAUCCCCGGACCUAGACCAAAUCCCUGCGCGAGGUGCCCGCCGCCGUGACCUCGGGGCCCGGCCUCCGCCCGCUCGUCGCCCGCCCCGCCCCCAGGCCUGGCCCCGCGGGCGCCCCCCCGGCCCCUCCCCCCCCCCCCCCCGGCCGCGCGCGCUCGGCUCUGCCCUGCCCCGGGGGCUCGGGCCCAGGUGGGUCCGGACCGUGGCCCUGAGCGGCGCCCCAGCCCCCUGCGGAAGGGCCCCAAAGCCGAAGGAGCGGUUCGUCCCGGACACGGAAUUUGGAAUCGAGGAGCCCCUCGCAGUGACGGGGAGAAGAGCAGAGCCGGCCCGUCUGCCCCCCCCCCCCCGCCCCCGGGGUGUCUCCGGGAUGCGGAGGGUCACUCCGGGCGGCCUGGGCCUGGGACUGGCAACGCGGGCCUCGCAAUCUGCACCUUAAAGCCCGGCCGGGGCGCCCGCGGGAUGAGCUCGCGAGGCGCUGGUCCCCGCCACGCCCGACGCUGCAGAAAGCCCGACAGGCGAGGACAGCCUGGACCGAGGGCUGAGAUGGACCCAGGGGCGGAGGAGCUCCGGGGGAGCCGAAGGUAAUCGCCGUCAACACAGAUCCUCAGGGUGGGGGCUCAGGUCGGCCUAGUUGUUCAAGGAGGACUGCGCUGUCCUGGUGAACCGCCGUGCCUGCCAAGGGCUUGCUUUGACAGGGUUUUCACGAAUUUGGAAAUGAACAGAUGUAGCUUUGAUUUUCUUUUUUCUUUUUCUUUUUUUUUUUUUCAUUUAAUUGGGCAGCUAAAAACCGCUUCCAGGAAACUGAAACCUCUAGCGGAGGUUGUGCUGCUUCCUCUUCCUCGGCCUUUACCCCUGCCCUUUGCCCUAGGUCAUUUUCAUCCCUUCCAGUUUCCAGGGUUCAAGGAUUCCUAUCCCGGCAGCAGCUCCAGGGGUGCUGUGAUGCCAGGCUGGGCAGGAUCGGAUUGGCCCAUGUGACAUUUCUUCCCCCACUGUCCCCUCAAUGCCAGACACACUGUAGUUUAGACCCUUUCCAUGUGAGAGAGGGCCCCGGGGCCAUAGCCCUGGACCAAGAGGUCGGGAGGCCCUCUAGACUCCGCACAAAGGUCAAAAUAGGGAUGGGCCGGAAGAGAAAACGGAGGCAUCGUGUUCUGCUGAUUGCCAGGGAGGCUUCGCUCGUCUCCCUUGCUCCCAUGCAGCCGUUACCUGGAUUUCCCAGCUGCUGACCAGCAGCAAACCUGGGCCCAUCUUGCACAGUGGUGCAAGGAGAGCUUCGAAAGGAAGGGCUGACUGACCCCUGCAUCCUGUCCAUUGUCGUAGGUGAAGUAUCAGUACAUCACGGCCACUCGUGUGUGUGUGUGUGUGUGUGUGUGCAUGUGCGUGUGCAUGUGUGUGUGGCCCAUCCAAGUAAGAACGACUUGUACACUUCAAAUGAUUGGGGCAAAUGUCAUGGGGCACUUGGGUGGCUCAGUCGGUUAGGCGUCUGACUCUUGAUUUUGGCUUGGGUCAUGAUCUCAGGGUCGCGAGAUGUGAGAUGGAGCCCUGUGCCCAUCUCUGCGUUAGGCGUGGAGCCUGCUUAAGACUCCCUUCCCCUCUGCCCCUCUACCCCUCGCCCUCUCUAAAAUAAAUAAAUAAAAAUGGUGGAAAAACA
rnacentral:lncRNA from 1 species